ACGCACAAGAAACGAUGCAUAUAAGAGCCGUUUGGAUUUCUAAAGCACAUGACCCUCUCCUCCAACUUCAUGUAUGUUCUAAGAUCUGCAGGUGCAGGGUUGUCAUAAUGAGGCGGAAAGGCAAAUACGUAACCAGGUG